rnacentral:rRNA from 1 species
GUGCCAGACUCCUACGGGAGGCAGCAGUGGGGGAUAUUGCACAAUGGGGGGAACCCUGAUGCAGCGACGCCGCGUGGGUGAAGAAGCGCCUCGGCGCGUAAAGCCCUGUCAGCAGGGAAGAAAAUGACGGUACCUGAAGAAGAAGCCCCGGCUAACUACGUGCCAGCAGCCGCGGUAAUACGUAGGGGGCAAGCGUUAUCCGGAUUUACUGGGGGUAAAGGGAGCGUAGGCGGCCUGCCAAGUCUGAUGUGAAAUGCCGGGGCUCAACCCCGGGGCUGCAUUGGAAACUGGCAGGCUGGAGUGUCGGAGAGGCAGGCGGAAUUCCUAGGGGAGCGGUGAAAUGCGUAGGUAUUAGGAGGAACACCAGUGGCGAAGGGGGCCUGCUGGGCGAUGACUGACGCUGAGGCUCGAAAGCGUGGGGAGCAAACAGGAUUAGAUACCCCCG